rnacentral:rRNA from 1 species
GACGGAGGGAGCAAGCGUUGUCCGGAUUUACUGGGCGUAAAGCGCGCGUAGGCGGCCUUUUAAGUCGGCGGUGAAAGCGCUGGGCUCAACCCAGCAACUGCCGUCGAUACUGAUGGGCUCGAGUCCGGGAGAGGGAAGCGGAAUUCCUGGUGUAGCGGUGGAAUGCGUAGAUAUCAGGAAGAACACCGGUGGCGAAGGCGGCUUCCUGGACCGGCACUGACGCUGAGGCGCGAAAGCUAGGGGAGCGAACGGG